UUGCUCUUCAACGAGGAAUGCCUAGUAGGCACGAGUCAUCAGCUCGUGCCGAUUACGUCCCUGCCCUUUGUACACACCGCCCGUCGCUACUACCGAUUGAAUGGCUCGGUGAGGCCUUCGGACUGGCGCAGGAGGGUUGGCAACGACCCCCCCNGCGCCGGAAAGUUGGUCAAACCCGGUCAUUUAGAGGAAGUAAAAGUCGUAACAAGGUUUCCGUAGGUGAACCUGCGGAAGGAUCAUUACCGAGUGCGGGCUGCCUCCGGGCGCCCAACCUCCCACCCGUGACUACCUAACACUGUUGCUUCGGCGGGGAGCCCUCUCGGGGGCGAGCCGCCGGGGACUACUGAACUUCAUGCCUGAGAGUGAUGCAGUCUGAGUCUGAAUAUAAAAUCAGUCAAAACUUUCAACAAUGGAUCUCUUGGUUCCGGCAUCGAUGAAGAACGCAGCGAACUGCGAUAAGUAAUGUGAAUUGCAGAAUUUAGUGAAUCAUCGAGUCUUUGAACGCACAUUGCGCCCCCUGGCAUUCCGGGGGGCAUGCCUGUCCGAGCGUCAUUGCUGCCCAUCAAGCCCGGCUUGUGUGUUGGGUGUUUGUCUCGCCUCUGCGUGUAGACUCGCCUCAAAACAAUUGGCAGCCGGCGUAUUGAUUUCGGAGCGCAGUACAUCUCGCGCUUUGCACUCAUAACGACGACGUCCAAAAGUACAUUUUUACACUCUUGACCUCGGAUCAGGUAGGGAUACCCGCUGAACUUAAGCAUAUCAAUAAGCGGAGGA
rnacentral:rRNA from 1 species